GCCGGGGUCUCCUAGAGCCUGAAAAGGCGGGGAACCAGGUAUGGAGCAGGCCUGGAGAGCCUGUGGCCCCCUGGGCCACGUGGGUUCGAAUCCCACCCCCGGCGCCA
rnacentral:tRNA from 1 species